GUGCCAGCAGCCGCGGUAAUACGGGGGGGGCAAGCGUUGUUCGGAAUUACUGGGCGUAAAGGGCGCGUAGGCGGCCUGCUAAGUCGGAUGUGAAAUCCCUCGGCUCAACCGAGGAACUGCAUCCGAUACUGGCGGGCUUGAAUCCGGGAGAGGGAUGUGGAAUUCCAGGUGUAGCGGUGAAAUGCGUAGAUAUCUGGAGGAACACCGGUGGCGAAGGCGGCAUCCUGGACCGGUAUUGACGCUGAGGCGCGAAAGCUAGGGGAGCAAACGGGAUUAGAAACCCGCGUAGUCC
rnacentral:rRNA from 1 species